rnacentral:rRNA from 1 species
GAUGAACGCUGGCGGCGUGCUUAACACAUGCAAGUCGAACGAAGCACCUCUCCCGAAGAUUGACACAGCUUGCUGUAGAUUGAUUCAUUUGAGGUGACUGAGUGGCGGACGGGUGAGUAACGCGUGGGUAACCUGCCUCAUAGAGGGGGACAACAGUUGGAAACGACUGCUAAUACCGCAUAGUAAGAAGAAUUCGCAUGUUUUCUUCUUGAAAGAUUUAUCGCUAUGAGAUGGACCCGCGUCUGAUUAGCUAGUUGGUAAGGUAACGGCUUACCAAGGCGACGAUCAGUAGCCGGCUUGAGAGAGUGAACGGCCACAUUGGGACUGAGACACGGCCCAAACUCCUACGGGAAGCAGCAGUGGGGAAUAUUGCACAAUGGGGGAAACCCUGAUGCAGCGACGCCGCGUGAGUGAAGAAGUAUUUCGGUAUGUAAAGCUCUAUCAGCAGGGAAGAUAAUGACGGUACCUGACGAAGAAGCCCCGGCUAACUACGUG